rnacentral:rRNA from 1 species
UACGUAGGGCGCAAGCGUUGUCCGGAAUUAUUGGGCGUAAAGAGCUCGUAGGCGGUUUGUCGCGUCUGCUGUGAAAGCCCGGGGCUCAACCCCGGGUCUGCAGUGGGUACGGGCAGACUAGAGUGCAGUAGGGGAGACUGGAAUUCCUGGUGUAGCGGUGAAAUGCGCAGAUAUCAGGAGGAACACCGAUGGCGAAGGCAGGUCUCUGGGCUGUUACUGACGCUGAGGAGCGAAAGCAUGGGGAGCGAACAGGAUUAGAAACCCCCGUAGUCC